AACGAACCUGAGGUGUCAUAAUUGCUCUGCCUCUAGAUUCAGCAGAUUGCACAAUGCAUUAGAAAAGCAUAACCAGCAAUAAGGCUGCAGGGUCUGUUGUCCCCUUUGCCUGUGGAAAACCAUACAUGAGACACAUAAAGCCACAUGGGAGAAGGCAACAAGCCAGCAGCUGCAGGGUCCCUGGCAUAUGUCCAGCAUUUCCACCACAGCCUGGACACCACAGGAAGUCACUCAGACCAGCUCUGCCUGAGGUGCUGCGCUGGAAAGUAAGGACUGCACACCAAUAGGAUUCUUCAUCCAUUGCCAUUUAAACUGGAAACAACUGUUGUUCUUUAGUGGGGGGUAAUGUUUGUGGAAUUAUUAGCAGGGGAUGGUGUGAAGUAGAAAGGGCUGAUGGUGACUGGCAUCAGAGCAGUUGGGGCAUGGAUGAGUUUCGGACAUGGCUGCAUGCAUACAAGCAUUCAGAAAAUCCUGCAGGAAUUACUGACAGGUAAAGAGUAUGGCCCAGAGAAGGAGCAAGGGACUUCAGUCACUGGGGAUUAGCGGUUUAGGAGGCAGGCAAGUCCUUCAUGAGAUUGCAAAAAUGUACUGCUAUCAACUCUACAUGUCAACUCCUAAUGAUGUCAGUAGUGGUUUGCUGGCACUCCUGACUGUGUUAUUAAAUGCCUCUCCCCAUCUCAUGGUGACUGGCUUUCAGAAAGUGAUCUUCUGUUUCUAUGACUCCAUUUUUCAGAUAGAAAAUCAGAAAACAGAAUUUCUUCACUCACAAGCUGUCAGGAGAUUUAAAGCAGGGAAACUGCUCAAAAUUAUUAAGUUGUUCAGUAAUUAUGGCACAGUAAUAUCAUAUAUGAAUGAGGUAAAUUUUGUGGCUGAAUAGAUUUGAUAAUAGCAUGAAGGACUAAAUUGCUAUGGUUUUGGAUAGUAGGAAUAACCAUCAUCAUUUUCUUCAUCAAUAUAAUCCCAUACAACCUCACCCAUUGUGUGAUUCUUGUAACUAUUUUUACCUGACAAAUAGUAUUUCUCUUCUAGUAGCUUUUAACAUCUGAGACGAUCCUUUCACUGAUCUUGGCUAGGGGAGAUUUGUCCUUACUGAAAUUCUGACAGGAGAUCAUUCAGCCUCUAGCUGCUUGCUGCAUAUUCUCCUUGAGUUCUCAUGCUUGUUUCCCUUGUGGAACAGGACUGAGGAUCCUUUGAGGACUUAGGGGCUUACUCAGCACUAACCUAAAUGCUUCGUAUCAGUGAAGCUUAAUGUUAAAUAUGUAUCACCAUGCACUAUUCUCACAAAAAUCUUACUGAAACAUUCUUUUAUUACAGUCUGAUUCUUCUGGUUUCACUCCUUGGAACGUACUAUGUUUUAUACUAUAUUACUGUAAUCAAAGCUCAGAUUAACUGAAGAAGAAUAUACAGCCCAGAAGUUACUUCUCUAGACAAUAAUUUCCUUUUCAAUUCAGUAAUAGGUUUUGGAUGCAAUGAAUUUCAUCAGCAGAUUAAUUUUGUUUACCAAAACUGUUUUGUGCUGUUGCAGGUAGAUUGCACUCUAUUAAUAAUACUUUUUCAAAAGGUAAUAUUUAAUGUGGUAUGGUAUAUGAAAGCCUUUGUAUUUUAUAAUCAAACUCCCCAUGGUGAGAAUUUAACUGCAGUGAAACAGAAGACAUCAGUACAAUGUGAAAACUGUUCAUUUGUCCCUUUGACUGGUGAUAUCAAAUUUUACUCCAACAACCAAUAAUAUUAGGGUUUCUCUUUCAUCUUUCCUUCUCUGUGCACUGCCUAGAAAAAAAAAAUCCAUUUACUUAAUGAGCACAAAAUAAAAGUAAAUGUCAUUGCAGCAAUACAUCUGAUUACUAUUAGUUAUAACUUUAUAUAAAUCAUUAAUAUUUUGAUUGAUUUUAUAUUGAUGAGGUGUAUGAUGAGGUAAUGAGCUGGUAGACUUGGAAACAGAGGUUCAUCCAAAGCAUAAAACCUGUUAGCAACAUUCUUCCUAAUACUAAGCUGUAUAUCUAUUGUCCCAAAAUUAAUUUAACACCAAUUAAGUUUCAUUGGAAAACCUAUGCUAAUGGCCGAUUCUGCAGCCUGGUUUAGGAUUUGAUCAUUAGUUGCUUGCACUGAAGUAAUGCUUAGGACUUAAUUUAUGAAAGGACAGCUUGAAAAAUAUACAUAGUGUUAAUUUUAUUUCAUUUUUCUAUUUACGAAAGUAUAGUCCUAAAUUAACUUUAUGGGAUAGGUAGGAGAAGAGGACUUUAACGAGGAGCAAGAAGAGGCACAGGUAGGACUAGUUUAAACAAAGAAGUGGGGGAGGUAGAGACAAUCACAAAGCAGCAGAAAAAGAAAAUCCACAGUUGGCAAUGUUCAAAAGGGCUGCAAAUGCUAGGUCCCAACCUAACAUAUUCUCAACUUUUUUGUAGAUCUGUCUUAAAAUCAGGUGUGAGACAUCAAAAGACAAAUGGUCACAGUGGGAAAUAUGGGCUGUUUUCCUUGGAAAGUGGGAUAUUUCAGCCUUUUAUUCUUUAUUCCUGGCCAGGCUAAAGACUUUUUGAAGGAUCACAGGCUGGAUUCUGGGAAAGAGUUUCUAAGAGGAAGGAAGGAAUGAUCUUUUAUCAUGUGUUGUAAUUGUUUCCUAUAUAUGUCUCAUGAGUCAGACAGAAUAGGAUCAGGUCACUGACACUUGCCACUUGUCACUUGUUUUGCCAUAACAACAAGAAAAACAGAUUUUUGUGGUAGAGGUGAUAGUGACAUGUUAUUUUUAAACUGCUUCAUGCGUUUUCUAAAGUACAGGGGAAAAACUUGUCAUAUUUUUAACAGAGGUUCUUCUGGAUAGACCUACAUUUUAAGCCAUUUGUUUAACAGCCUGUAGUUAAAAAUAUCUUUUAUAUUUCUGUGUCUGGUAAAUGUUAUAAGAGUGUACCGUGGACUCUGAUGGAAGUGGAUAAAACAAUACUAUUGUAUUAUAUUUAAAAUUAAGCAACCCAAUAGUAUAAAAGCUCAUAUUAAAGUUUUUCUCUUUGUCCUGUGAUGUUCUUUCUAUCUAAGUGUAGCUUUCCAAGGAAGAGUGUAGGAUUUGGCCUUGCUGGAAUUGUAUUUUUUGUAAACUUUAUAAUAUCUCACAUGACUCAAGAUUCGCAAAGGUAUAGGGGUGAGUGACAAAACCUUUCUCUUGUACUUCUGAUCAGUUUGUUAGGUUGAUUGAAAGUCAGUGGGUGAUAAGAAGAUUCAGCCUCUAUUUUGAUUGAUGAGUCAGAUGACACAGUUGAGAAAAAGUAGGACACUGUAGCUUAUGCUCCCUCUAAGUGGAUAAAAAUAAAGGACUAAAUUUUCAAAAGAUUCAGGUCACUGAAAUAGGCUUUGGUGUUCAUUAUAACAGGUGCAUGUGGCAACAGUACCCAUGAGCUGUUCCAGACAUUGUUUCAGUGAGGCAAUGAAUAGCACUUGUUAAAAUUUAACACUGCUGAGGCAGAAGGGUUGCCUGGAAAAUGGACCUGUCCAAAUAGCAUGGCUGGGUGGGAGUAUCACAGAUUAUACGGUUUUGCCUGUGUUUCCUCAUUGAGGAGCAGUAAUUCCUGCUGACUUCAUCGAAGUAAUGCAGGCCUUCAGCUACAAACAAUAAAUGCCACGGCUGAGGGCAUCUGGUACAGUGUGUUGGUUUGUGCUGCACUCCCAGAG
ensembl:lncRNA